GACGAACGCUGGCGGCGUGCCUAAUACAUGCAAGUCGUGCGGACCUUUUAAAAGCUUGCUUUUAAAAGGUUAGCGGCGGACGGGUGAGUAACACGUGGGCAACCUGCCUGUAAGACUGGGAUAACGCCGGGAAACCGGGGCUAAUACCGGAUCGUUUUUCCUCCGCCUGGAGGAAAAAGGAAAGGCGGCUUCGGCUGCCACUUACAGAUGGGCCCGCGGCGCAUUAGCUAGUUGGUGGGGUAACGGCCCACCAAGGCAACGAUGCGUAGCCGACCUGAGAGGGUGGUCGGCCACAAUGGGACUGAGGCACGGCCCAAGCUUCUACGGGAGGCAGCAGUAGGGGAUCUUCCGGAAUGGGGGGAAGGCUGGCGGGGCAACGCCGGGUGGGGGAAGAAGGCCUUCGGGUCGUAAAACUCGGUUGACGGGGAAGAACAAGAGGCGUUCGAACAGAGCGGCGUCUUGACGGUACCCGACCAGAAAGCCACGGCUAACUACGUG
rnacentral:rRNA from 1 species